rnacentral:sRNA from 1 species
AUAUCUCUCUGUACGGGAAGGAUGAGAAGCUUCGACCAAGGUUCGAUUCGAGCGCAGCGAGAAAGCGUUGCCGCAGGCAACGA